rnacentral:ncRNA from 1 species
GAAGAGGGUUGACCUCUGUGUUUUCAAGUCCGCCGUCAAAUCCCAGGGCUCAACCCUGGACAGGUGGUGGAAACUACCAAGCUGGAGUACGGUAGGGGCAGAGGGAAUUUCCGGUGGAGCGGUGAAAUGCAUUGAGAUCCGAAAGAACACCAAUGGCGAAAGCACUCUACUGGGCCGACACUGACACUGAGAGACGAAAGCUAGGGGAGCAAAUGGGAUUAGAGACCCCAGUAGUCCUAGCCGUAAACGAUGGAUACUAGGUGUUGUGCGACUCGACCCGUGUAGUGAUGUGCUUUUCAAGGUCCAGAUUUCC